UCGGUCAGGGUCCGUUUGUGUAAUCUGGUGCGUCUCGUCACGUGACGUCGGAUCUGCGGAAUCUAUUCAUUCAUUCUGACUAUGAAGAGCCUGAUGAAAUCGUGAUCGGAGGACUAACCAAACCUCUAUUGAAUUCUUCCCCGAUUUGCUUUCUUGAGAAGGAUCUACACACGGGGCGAGUCUAACCCGAGGCCUGAUUAGAAAAUGAUGUUUACAAGAUGGCAUUAUCCGUUCGCCUGUCGAGUUCUCGAUCUCUAGCCAUGACCGGUGUUCGCAUGUCCCCAACUCAAUGGCAUAAACGACUCCGUCGCCGCUUCUCCAAAUACUUUGAAAGGCAUCUUCUGAAGUCUAGUUCUUCAGGCGUUUAUUCAGACUGUAGCACAAGUUCUUGAUGUGAGUCAUGUCGGUGUAAUAAAAGUCAUCCUCUUCCAUUCAAUGUUUCGAGUUUGUCUAGUCGCGGACCUCUUUAUCUGAUCUAUACUAAUGUGUGGCAUCCUUUUCAAAAUGAAGUCAGUCGAUAGGUUAUGUUUGACUAUCAUGUAAUCUUUGUUUAUCACUAUACAAAAUACAUUUGGUUUUAUCUCAUCAA